rnacentral:rRNA from 1 species
UACGUAGGGGGCAAGCGUUGUCCGGAUUUAUUGGGCGUAAAGCGCUCGCAGGUGGUUCGUCGCGUCGUGCGUGAAAGACCCCGGCUCAACUGGGGAGGGUCGUGCGAUACGGGCGAACUGGAGGCCAGUAGGGGGAUGCGGAAUUCCGGGUGUAGUGGUGGAAUGCGUAGAGAUCCGGAGGAACACCAGCGGCGAAGGCGGCAUCCUGGACUGGUCCUGACACUCAGGAGCGAAAGCUAGGGGAGCGAACGGG